rnacentral:rRNA from 1 species
AUGCCGCGUGAGUGAAGAAGGCCUUUGGGUUGUAAAGCUCUUUUGUAGGGGAAGAUAAUGACUGUACCCUAAGAAUAAGGUCCGGCUAACUUCGUGCCAGCAGCCGCGGUAAUACGAAGGGACCUAGCGUAGUUCGGAAUUACUGGGCGUAAAGCGCGCGUAGGCCGUUGAGUUAGUUAAUUGUGAAAUCCCAAAGCUUAACUUUGGAACUGCAAUUAAAACUGCUCGACUAGAGUUUGAUAGAGGAAAGCGGAAUACAUAGUGUAGAGGUGAAAUUCGUAGAUAUUAUGUAGAACACCAGUUGCGAAGGCGGCUUUCUGGGUCAACACUGACGCUGAGGCGCGAAAGUAUGGGUAGCAAAGAGGAUUAGAUACCCUCGUAGUCCAUACCAUAAACGAUGAUUGCUAGAUGUUGGAAAUUUAUUUUCAGUAUCGCAGCUAACGCAUUAAGCAAUCCGCCUGGGGAGUACGACCGCAAGGUUAAAACUCAAAUGAAUUGACGGGGACCCGCACAAGCGGUGGAGCAUGUGGUUUAAUUCGAAGAUACGCGCAGAACCUUUACCAGCCUUGACAUGUCUGUCGCGAGUUUAGGAAACUAGACUUUUCGGUUCCG